CCCAGGUAGCCAUCUUGAUUCAGUACUCUCAGUCUCRUUCAAGCAACGCGUGUCUCCUCCUCUUGAAUUUUACCAUACAUACGCAGCAGGAAUUAACAUGCUUGUAGAAAUGGAACCACGUGUGUGUGUAUGUAGAGGAGUUGACUAUACAAUAAAUAAUCAUCAAUUAUGGAACAACAACAAUCUACUAUCCUGUACAAUAUUAUAUUUCCAAGGAGAAAAGAGUAUGGUAUUUCGAUGGAAAUUUAUCAAAAGGAAAUUUGUGAACCUAUAAACGUAAUUCUAAUUGAGAUUCAAUUGUAAUUUGUUGAACUCGCGACAGACUCGUCGCGGUGUCAUGGCGGCGGCCGAAGCUAAAGCAGCGUCG